rnacentral:rRNA from 1 species
UACGAAGGGGGCUAGCGUUGCUCGGAAUCACUGGGCGUAAAGGGUGCGUAGGUGGAUUUUUAAGUCAGGGGUGAAAUCCUGGAGCUCAACUCCAGAACUGCCUUUGAUACUGGGAAUCUUGAGUUCGGGAGAGGUGAGUGGAACUGCGAGUGUAGAGGUGAAAUUCGUAGAUAUUCGCAAGAACACCAGUGGCGAAGGCGGCUCACUGGCCCGAUACUGACGCUGAGGUGCGAAAGCGUGGGGAGCAAACAGG